UACAGAGGUCCCAAGCGUUGUUCGGAUUCACUGGGCGUAAAGGGUGCGUAGGCGGUCGGGUAAGUCUGAUGUGAAAUCUCCGGGCCCAACCCGGAAACGGCAUCGGAUACUAUCUGGCUUGAGGAUUGCAGGGGAGACUGGAAUUCUCGGUGUAGCAGUGAAAUGCGUAGAUAUCGAGAGGAACACCAGUGGCGAAGGCGAGUCUCUGGACAAUUCCUGACGCUGAGGCACGAAAGCCAGGGGAGCAAACGGG
rnacentral:rRNA from 1 species